rnacentral:rRNA from 1 species
AGCAGCCGCGGUAAUUCCAGCUCCAAUAGCGUAUAUUAAAGUUGUUGCAGUUAAAAAAGCUCGUAGUUGAAUUUCGGGGUUAGUAGGUUGGUCAUGCCUCUGGUAUGUACUGGUCUCACUGAUUCCUCCUUCCUGAUGAUCCGUAAUGCCAUUUAUUUGGUGUUGCGGGGAAUUUGGACUGUUACUUUGAAAAAAUUAGAGUGUUUAAAGCAGGCUCACGCUUGAAUACAUUAGCAUGGAAUAACGGAAUAGGACGUUUGAUUCUAUUUUGUUGGUUUCUAGGAUCGACGUAAUGAUUAAUAGGGAUAGUUGGGGGCAUUAGUAUUCAAUUGUCAGAGGUGAAAUUCUUGGAUUUAUUGAAGACUAACUACUGCGAAAGCAUUUGCCAAGGAUGUUUUCAUUAAAUCAAGAACGAAAGUUAGGGGAUCGAAGACGAUCAGAUACCGUCGUAGUCUUAACCAUAAACUAUAGCCGACUAGGGAUCGGAUGAUGUUAAUUUUUAAUGUACUCAUUCGGCGCC